UGCGGGCUUCCCCGGCCGGCCGUGUGGCGGCAAGAGAGGUUUAACAUAUCUAUUACUGUGUGGUUCUAAAGGCGGAUUUGAGUUGUGGUUUUCACUACAAACUGUAGAUUGAGCUAGAUGAAGCAAGCGACUUCAGCAUUGUGAAAACGUACGUAGUGUAGAAAUUGAUGAUGCGAAACUCCGUUUUUGAACUUUGGUUGAAUUUCAAUUAAUUAUGGCACAAAUAGGCGUUUGGUGGGUAAAACCAUCUUAUAGCGCGACUUAAUAAUGAUCGUUGCUGCGUGAUCAUAUUAGUAAAUAAAUCAGACUCCGUCCGCCUUCACUUGUAAUAUUAUAUAAUGAGAUAUGAAUAAUUAAAUUUAUUAAAUUCCUUACAUUAAUUAAUGAAUCAGCCGCUCUGUUUUACAGGACAGUUAGACAACGACACCCGCUAUAUCGUGAUAAAUAUUUAUAUUCCCGAUUGAAUUCAAAUUCACGAGUACAAGCUUCACUUACUGUGUCUCGCUGUAAAGAACAGAUCACUUUUUAAAAAUAACAUUUAGAAUCCCCAUGUUUACCAAUAAACCAUUUUUAUUUAAA